CCUAUUACAAGAAGAGAAAAUGAUCAUCUCCUGUAUUUUUUUCCAGCAAUCUAUCUAGCAUUCAGUAAUCACUAACCAAAAGGUUAGAACCUGAAACCCAGCAAUCUAAUUGUUUGCUUGCCCAAGAUAAUGACUGAAAGCAAACUAUUUGAGCACUAAUUAUUCAGCUUUGAGAUAGAAGUGAGGCCUACUUCAACUCGCAAAGAUACUUUGUCUAUUGACUUUAAAAUCCAAGGGUAGAAUACUUUUAAAAAGCAACACUGCAAUACCUAUUUUUCUGAAUACUGAUUUAGUCCAUUAUGUCAUUCCCAAUACUAACAGGAAAGCUCAUUGUUAGAUAAAUCUAUUCUAGCAUUUCUCAUUAGCCUAUUUCAAAUCACUUAGUUUGUGAACUUGUACAGCUUCUAGAUAUUUAAGGUUGAAAUGAAAUAACUUAAAAUGUGCUUCAUGACUGCAGAUUACCUUGUGAACUUCCAUUAAAAGAAAAGACAGCAUCAAAAAUAUGAAGUUGAAAGUGAGGAGGGAAGAAGUUCAGACAUCAGAGAAAAACCUUAUUUUCUAGAAGACAACAGGAAGUUGUCUGAGGAAGUGAGACAAUUGCACUUCAUAAUGAAAGCACACCAGUACUGAAUGGCAUGCUUUCUUAAAAGCCAAACCUUACUCACCAGUGGCUGCUGCAAUAUAACUUUCAGCAGACAGAUUUUGCUACUUGAACACUAUGAAGUAUCACAUUCAGCCUAUCCUAAAGAGGAUUCCUCCCAAAACACUAAUUGUCUACCUGACAAAUGAAAUUACUUAGGGACCAGGUGGGCGUCAAGAAAAAAAAAAUCAGUUAUUUUAUUUCCUGAUAUUUUCUUGGAUACAGAAAAUCUUUUGCACCCUAAGUAUACAGUUUGGCAUAAUUGUAGUCUAGCCCAAACACUUCUCCGACAGAAAAAUGAAAGGGAAGAAGUAUUCUUGAUGAAGUGCUUCUCACUAGGUAACAAUGACUCUAAACUGUGUAGAAGGCCCAGUACAAGAAGUGGUUUAUAAAGGUUAAAAGUUCACUUGACUACCAGCUUUGAUAUUCUUGUAUCAAAACCAUAAGACUUUGUUCUCAGUCACUGUAUUUGUAUGGCUUACAAAGUAACUGUCUAGCUUCUUUUGCAAGUCACUGAAAACCUUAUUGUUAAUUGCUACAGCAAGUAACAGUACUACUUGCUCCUUCUACCACUCUGAAGGUUGAGCUAAGGUAGAAAGUGAGCAACUAUUCUGCUUCAGACAAGUCAGAAAUUCUAACUUCAGUGUUAAGCCACAACUUUAGUGCCAAACUUUGGCUAUUUUCCUUAAGUUGUACUUUAAAGUACUCAGGAAUGAUGUACUGUAUACAAUCAGAAGCUGUAAGUACAUUAUGCUAAGAACAAUCUGUUACUGAUAAUCUUGGAAGGAAGGUAAGAGCCUUGUAAAAAUAAUUAAUGAGUACCUGUAUUUUAUCUUCUGGAACGUUAAGCCAGUGAUUGAAAGCUUGGGACAGCUUGGUUCUUACUUGCUUACCUACAAUUAGAAAAAAAUAAAAGAAAAAUCAAAGUCCAGUAUUAAAUGCAACAGUUUAUCUUAAUAGCUGUAACUAAUUUGAGACCAGUAAGCUGCUAAAAGCAUGACCACUUCAAAGGGCAAAAUACAUUAAAGUGAGAUCAUAGUUUGUUUCCUCAUUGUAUAAACUUCAGAAUUGAAGUUGCUGAUAGCUGCAAACAUUUCACAGUAAAACACAAACAGUGAUAUAAAAACGUGUAUUCACAUGUCACUGCAAUUAGUUUUGGAGUUUACUUAGCCAAUUUUGUUAGAUCCUGAUUCUGUUGGUAACCUCUGUAAACAGGCUUACUGCCUCUGAAAGCGAGUCCUAGUUUGUUUGGCAGGUUAACUUUCUUUACAUAACAAAUAACUUUCAAUUGCAAUUCAUUAUUAGAUAUGGAUAUUUGCUGAAUAUCUUCAAGUAUUUCCCCUCCUGUGUCAGGUCUUCUGCAGUACUCCUCAACUGCUAUUCAAUUUGUAAAUAAAAAAAAAGGAAUAUUUGACAUACUUUAAAGAAAAAACUACAUUCUGAACAUAACUUUCAAAGACCUUAGACAUUUAUUUAUACCCUCUAAAUUUACAUUAUGUCUAACAGGAUGCUCCACUUUGGCAGAACAACAGACAGUUACCUAUUUCAGAGGAAAGAAAGAUAAGAUUAAAAAUCCAAAUUUAGUGUUAAAACAAGCGUUAAAAUUCAAUCUAGAUACAUUUUACCUGGAAGAGUUGAUUUUAAUUGAAAUUAUCCCAUAAAUUAUUGAUGCCAGCUUUCUUUAGUACAUUGCUUGCAAGGGGUCACAUACAAGUAUUCAUUUAGUGUGUCUAUUGAUGAUCAAUAGGAAAUUGUUCAAUAAACAGUCACCUCCUGUGCAGCUCUGAACUUCAACUCAGCUGAGUCUAAUAUCUUCCAUUAACAGCAGAACAGGUUUAUACGGAGUUCUGCACCCUUAGCUCAUCUCAAUGAGCCACUUAAAAGCUAUUACAAAUAAACCUCAGAGCAGUGCAACCUAUCUACUGGGUUCCAUAUUACUCAAGAUCUACUGAGAGACAUAACUGAAGAAUGAUUCUGCAACAUUAGUUUUCGUGUUAAUGAUGCCACCCUGCCAUAGCACUGAAGAAGUUUCAACAUUUGAGAUCCUCCCUGCAGAUUCUCUCUACUGCUGUGUGAUCAGCACAUACAGAAUGUAAAAAUAAACAUGGAUAGAUUAAAUGAUAAACUAUGGAAGUCACCAGCAGAUAAGCAGGCGGUAAGAUCUGUGGUUUGGUUCUGUAGUGCAGGUGGUAAUCAUCCUCAGUUGCUCAAAGGGCUUCAAUUUUUGCUCGGUCUCAAAGAUUUCCAUUACUUCCUCACACCACCAUCUUUUGGUUUUCAUCAGAAGAUACCAAUGAAAAGGCAUCUCUUUUCCAACAGCUUUAUCUUCUGGUUCUGCCAUACAGGAAGGGACAUUCUUACCUGGAUAUACCUGGAUUUGACUAGAGGCUUUGUUUGUUUGUUUUGGCUGUGGAAGCUCAGGUUUAAAUCCUUUUUUUUUUUUUUUUUUCCUGCUGGACAGAGGGAUUGUAAGGUAUCUGUCAUGCUGUUUCAGAGACACAAAGUUGUACUUUAAGGUGCAGGCUUGUAUCAGCCUUAUUCUCUAUCAGCACAGUAUGCAUUUGGUUUUUGGAUGUGUUUUUUUUUUUCUAAACAACAAAACCAUGCAUUAAAUCAGUGAAUGUGUGAUUUAAAAAGUUUGUCAUUUUAACAUGGGUAACCAAGGCUAAAAUUCAAACUAGAAUGGCACCCAAGAUUUUCAAAGCCUUUCACAUUAACUAAGCACCACCACUAGUUCAAGUUGGUCCUUUCUGACACCAGCUCCUGCAAAUGCCAAAGACUUGAAAUAUUACCAACAUUCUCUCUUUUUUUUUUUUUUUAGUGACUAUGCAGGUAGAUCAGAUUUUGGCCUAAUCUGUUCCCUGACCAGACUUGUUACACAGUCAUCACCACCAAAUACUGCACAAACCAGGGCAGAAAUGUCCUGAAGAGGUUUUUUUUGAUUUCAUUUCCUUCUAAUAAUAAUUGCACGAAUUAACUGAAAAGGAAGUAAUCAUUCCAAAUGUUUGUAACAGUUGUUUUCAAUACAUGCCAAGCUGCAUGGCUUGCUAAGUAUAAAUGAAUAAUUCAGUAAAUCCCUACAGAAAAUUAGUCACAGAUAAUAUCACAUUACAGAUGUAUACCUUAUCUACAGCCAUUUACAUACUUCUAAAUGACACUGAUAAAAACAACACUUAAAUAGGCUGCUAAUUCUUUUUUUUUCCCUCCUUUUUUUGAAUGUAUUUACUAGAAAGUAAGCUUAUAGAAAUGCUACAAGUUCAGUAACAGGAGUUAUUUCAUCAUGAAGUACAUAACUACUAGCAUAUAAUCUAAACACACUCUUAAUAUGCACAGUGGAUUUCACCAUUCAGUUCCUUAGUACAGACAGCAUUUGAAUUGUUAGACUUGUCUACCACGAACACCAAGGCUGUCUAGACAAAGACUGCUUAUGGAAAAACCAUUAUCUGUACAGUAAAACAUUCAUCUUUACUUUUAUAAAUGCAGAUUUGCUUGUAUGAGCCCUAUUACUGCUUCAUAAAUGAUAUUGUAUCUCAUUCUGAAGUCAAUCCUACCACAUCUAUUUGACAUUAAAGCAGUUUUCAUAUGCAUGUUUUAUGCCUACAGUCACACUAUGAUGGCAGCAGAUCAAAUCCCUUUAAUAUUGAUAUUACAAGACUAGAUGCAUUGGUACUCUGUUCCUUUACUUCUCCCUCCACCCCUAAGACCCUAAACUAUGCAAGACACAGCACACAGCUGUUAGGAUAAAAUUAAAAGGAUUAGGACUUAACACUUCCAGAAUAAAUCACUUUUUCUUCUCCACUGUUCUAUGUCGCUACACUGUUGACUAGUCAAAGGAGAGUACUGUAAAACUGAAGACUAUCAAGAUCCAGCUUCCAAAAUUAGAAGCUCUACCUACUGUACAGUCAUAAUUACAAACAUUACUGAAACAAACUUAACGAAGUUAUGCAGAACGCAGUCAGUUUGAUCUGCUGAAGAUCCCAACAGCACCCUAGUCAAGCAACAACUACACAAAACUUGUUUUCUCAUUAGCAAAGUUGGGUGAGCAAGCAAGGUAAGAGGGAAAAACAGAACGUAACGUUCACUCUGACAAAAAUUCUCCAUAGGGAUAAAAUAUACAUUUCUUAUCCUUGAAACAAAGAUCCAAUUAGUGGUGUCACUCUGAGGACCCUCCCAGCUCCUUAGGCAGAGGAGAGCUGGUUCUCUACAAGACUGACUACACACGCAUAUAUAUGAUUUUCUCCUGACAGAGUACAGACCUCAGACUCAGACCUCCUGCUCUGAACAGCCAGCUUAUCGGCAUUUCUUUGCUCACACUGCAUUAACAUGACCUCAAACUAUGCCCUUCAGGCAGAACCCCACUUAGAUGGAGGGUAUGUAAAAGGGAUAGAACAGCAUGAGAAAGAGCAGAGGGACCAUCAACCUGGCCCUCAUUAGAGCCUCACUAAGCUAAUUCAACUCAUUACUGCAGCAGAAAACUGCCUGCUUUUUGCUAGGUUAGCUUUCUGCCAGCUUUAUGUUCCGUAUCAGCUUAUGAAGCAGGCCUGCCUGAGUUAGUACAGGGUGAGCAGCAUACCCUGAGAGAUAAGAGAAAGAGAACCCCUCUGGAUGAAGCAAGCCAUUAUAUCACCUCAGUUUUAUUGUAUACUUUCAUGUUUAGCUCUGUCAUCUGAUGGGUUAGGGCUAAAUGGAUUUACGCAGACCUUCCCACACAGCUAUAGGAACACUGCUGCCAUCAUAUGUGAACUGCAGGCACACACUUUCAAACUUAGGCAGCCACUUGAGACAGGUUGAGGUUGCUGCAGGACUAAAUUAACCCCACACCCUGUUCAAAAUAGGGUUAACUAAUCCAGCACUGAAAUUCUGUUUUUCACCUUGUUUUGUUCCCUCAGGAUCCCCAAUUCCACCACCCCACAGUCACAGCAGACACAGUUGCUCCCACCCUUUACAUGCCAACCAAUUCUUUUGUGUUUAGAGGUGUGAAGUCCAGCAAAACACCUUCCUUCACCAGCUCCUUGAUCCUGUGUUAAGGAGUGCUCCUCAAUGCAUUCUAAAAACCAACUGGAUUGCCUAUGCCCUGCUGUGUUGCUGCUUCUACUAGAUACUAAGCUUAUUUGGAGGCUUCUUCACUGUCUGGAGGUAAAUAACGCAGUAUAUUCAAACCCUCAAAGAGCUGGAAGCUGGCUGGUAUUACACCACAUCAAAUCAUCUCGGUAUCUUUUGGUGCCAAACUCAUAAGAAUCCUCCAAAAUGCUGCUGGGCACUUUUCCACAAAUGCUUUUUUUUUUUUUUUUUUUAAUAAAGCAGAAAAGUAGCUCAGCCAUAA